rnacentral:rRNA from 1 species
ACGCUCGACACCUACGGGGGCAGCAGUGGGGAAUAUUGCACAAUGGGGGAAACCCUGAUGCAGCGACGCCGCGUGAAGGAAGAAGUAUCUCGGUAUGUAAACUUCUAUCAGCAGGGAAGAAAGUGACGGUACCUGACUAAGAAGCCCCGGCUAACUACGUGCCAGCAGCCGCGGUAAUCUGAGGCGGGCUGGCAAGGC